GUCAGGAUGGCCGAGUGGUCUAAGGCGCCAGACUCAAGGAUCUGCCCUUCUCUCUCCUGGGAAUUCUGGUCUCCGUAUGGAGGCGUGGGUUCAAAUCCCACUUCUGACA
rnacentral:tRNA from 1 species